UCCGUAGGCGGGAUAAUAAGUCAGUGGUGAAAGUCUGCAGCUCAACUGUAGAAUUGCCAUUGAUACUGUUGUUCUUGAAUCAUUAUGAAGUGGUUGGAAUGAGUAGUGUAGCGGUGAAAUGCAUAGAUAUUACUCAGAACACCUAUUGCGAAGGCAGAUCACUAAUAAUGUAUUGACGCUGAUGGACGAAAGCGUAGGUAGCGAACA
rnacentral:rRNA from 1 species